rnacentral:snoRNA from 1 species
GGUUUCCUGGUGCUUGCCAUGGGCUGUAUAGGAAAAGGAGGCACAGUGAACUCACCCCAGCCCCCCUCAGCCCAGGCCCAGUGCCAGAUCUGACUUGUGAAUGGAGUGAGAUGA